CCUCUCCGCUCCCCUCCCCUUCCCUUCCUUCCCUCCCUCCCGCCGGAGCGCCCGCGGCCCCCGCUCCUCGGCCUCCCUCGCGGCCGCAGGGACGAGGAUGGCGGAGAGCGAGGCCGAGACCCCCAGCACCCCCUGCGAGUUCGAGAGCAAGUACUUCGAGUACAAUGGGGUGCGGCUGCCGCCCUUCUGCCGCGGGAAGAUGGAGGAGAUCGCUAAUUUCCCGGUGAGGGACAGCGACGUCUGGAUUGUCACCUACCCCAAAUCAGGCACAGGGUUGCUGCAGGAAGUGGUUUAUCUAGUGAGUCAGGGAGCUGAUCCAGAUGAGAUUGGACUAAUGAAUAUAGAUGAACAACUUCCAGUCCUAGAGUACCCUCAGCCUGGUCUGGACAUCAUCAAGGAACUGACAUCUCCUCGCCUCAUAAAAAGCCACCUGCCAUACCGGUUCUUGCCUUCAGACCUCCACAAUGGGAACUCAAAGGUCAUAUACAUGGCUCGCAACCCCAAAGACCUGGUGGUGUCUUAUUACCAGUUCCACCGCUCCCUAAGGACCAUGAGCUACAGAGGAACCUUUCAGGAGUUCUGCAGAAGGUUUAUGAAUGACAAGUUAGGAUAUGGUUCGUGGUUUGAACACGUGCAAGAGUUUUGGGAACAUCACAUGGAUGCCAAUGUACUUUUCCUCAAGUAUGAAGAUAUGCACAAGGACCUUGCAACGAUGGUUGAGCAGCUGGUGAGGUUCUUAGGAGUUUCUUAUGACAAAGCACAGCUGGAAUCCAUGGUGGAACACUGCCAUCAGCUCAUUGACCAGUGCUGUAAUGCAGAAGCUCUUCCUGUUGGCAGGGGUAUGUUCAAAACCCACAGUAAAACCCUCCUUGGAGAAGUUGCAAGAAGCAACUGCACAGCUUAGUGACCUCCAGGCACAUUGAUCUUUACUCUGAAGAUAACCCUGAACUGCUGUGAAAGCAGAGCAGUGCUUAGAUAUGUUACUUGUAUUUGACUCUUAUCACAUCCUAAUUUACGCAGUUGCAUGAUUCAAAUCAGAAACCAGGACGAGUUGGGCUAUGGAAAGACAUCUUCACUGUUUCAAUGAAUGAGAAGUUUGAUUUAGUUUAUAAACAGAAGAUGGGAAAAUGUGACCUCACAUUCGAUUUUUAUUUAUAAAAAAUGCAUGCCUAUGAUAUCCAGAUAUAGCUAGAAGUGCUUUAUGCAUUCAUUUAUUACCUGCUGGACAAACUACUGUAGCUAUUAUGUGUAAUAAAAUUUAAAGAAAGAGAAAACAAUCCAAGUAAACCAUAUCAGAUACAAUUUAUCUUUGAUCCUAAGCAGCUGUUUAUCUUCUGGUAUUUAAAUCCUGUGUCCACAUGCAAGAAGUUCCCAGGCAAUACUAGAACAUUCAGCUGUUACGGAAUGUAUUAUAUACUUAUAAGGUAUGUACCAUAUAUGCAACUAGAAUGUACACCUUUUCAGCCCCACAUUGAUUAUUUAAUGUGUUUUAUAAAAGCUUGUCACUAGAACCUAAAUAAAUGUCCAUAGACCAAAUAAAAAAAAAAAGAUUUCUGAGGGAAACAAGUUAAUAGGCCAAAAUAUUCUGUUAGAACGAUCUCAGGGGUUAAUCGUCACAUUUAUUUUUAUAGCAGGUAUAGCAAGUAUAAAUAAAUCCCAUCCCAAAAUAGUAACUGAUCCAAGUGGGGUUCACAUUAGGUUCUGCACACCCUUAUCUGUGUGAUCUGAGUAGGUUCUCUGUGCGCUGGCAUAUUCUGCAGGACAGGGCUUGUUGCGAUGUGCAGCCUGAUCCCAGAACCCACCUGUGCUUUCAUGGAUGGCAGCUCACAGCUGGCUCCCCCAUGGAUGCAGUUCAGCUCCAUGGUGAGGGUCAGCACACAGAAGAUCCUCAAGCCCUCAAGUCUAGUUCAGUCCCACAAAACUGGGCUUAAAAUCAAGGCAUCUGGUGCAGGGGCUUUCUUGAAGGAUCAGCCUCUGACCCGUAUCGCUUUCCUGUGUAGAUGUGGAUUUCUCCCAUUAGGAGCAGAGAAUUUCUCCCGCUGGAAGAGAGAAGCUGAGGUGCUGGGUAGCCUCUGGUUCCACUAAAAGGUGACUAAGGGCACUUAGCUCUGUUUAUGGCUGGUGCUCCUGGACUCCACCAGCCCCAAGGGGAAGGUGAGUCUGUGCCAGUGUAACUGCAGCAUCCGGGGAAGAGAGUUGGUGGAUGUGCCAGCAGGUGGGAGUAUUGCACAAAUAUCCAUGCAGAACACAGUUCCAGGAAUUGUUAGCCGUGACUGGUCUGGAUUAUAAUCAGGAUUCAAGUUUCUUUCUGUAUCUUUUCUUUUCAAUCUCCACGACAGGUACACAACCGGCCUGAAGCAGGCUGCUAUCACUAUAGAAUCUCCCAAAUUAUUUUAUUUGUUCCAUUAUGUAAUGACAUCCAUGCUUUUUAGGUUCUCAGCUGCAGGAGGCCCGUUUUUGCUAGUCAAAUGUUCAGGCUCACCAAAAAAACCGUGAGGAAAGGACUAGCUUUUAGUGUUUCAGUUCUGUUGGGAAACUGUCAGUUCAGCAACUGGCAAGUGGUGUAGCAUGAUGUGGCUUGACAGCACUUUUCCUUGUAUAUUUGUGAGUGAAAAUGCUUUCAGUGAAAUUUUAUUUCUAUUUUUAUAUUUUUAGUACUGUAUGAAUAUUAAGCACUACACAUUAUACUUCUGUGCUUGCUUGCUUACUGAAUAAAAGAUGUGUUCCAUG